GAGGGAAAGUUGAAAAGUACUCUGAAUAGAGAGUUAAAUAGUACGUGAAACCGCUUAGGGGUUAAGCCCGAUGAACCCGAAUAUCUGAUGUGAGAAAUUCAAUACGAUUCAAAUUCAGUUUUUAUAUUGAAUUUGUAUAGUAUGCACUUUUCUCAUAGUAAGACAUUGUAAUCCAUUGAUAUUAUAUCUCAUUAGAGAUGAUUUAACAUACGGACAAAAUGUUUAUGAUUAUUCUAUCAGUGAUGUGUUUACAUAUCAUAUGAAUAAAAUCGUUUUGUUUCCUGUUUAAAUAGUCGAUGGAUUUUUCAUUGAAAUCAUGCUUGCAAUUUAUUUUGCGUUUCGUAUCAUUAAUUUUUAAUUGGUGAUAGCAGAAAUGGCAUGUAUUCGAUUAACAAUGCGAUAGAUUUGGGAUACUUUCAGGACCCGUCUUGA
rnacentral:rRNA from 1 species